rnacentral:rRNA from 1 species
GAUGAACGCUGGCGGCGUGCCUAAUACAUGCAAGUCGAGCGAACAGAUGAGGAGCUUGCUCCUCUGACGUUAGCGGCGGACGGGUGAGUAACACGUGGAUAACCUACCUAUAAGACUGGGAUAACUUCGGGAAACCGGAGCUAAUACCGGAUAAUAUAUUGAACCGCAUGGUUCAAUAGUGAAAGACGAUUUUGCUGUCACUUAUAGAUGGAUCCGCGCCGCAUUAGCUAGUUGGUAAGGUAACGGCUUACCAAGGCAACGAUGCGUAGCCGACCUGAGAGGGUGAUCGGCCACACUGGAACUGAGACACGGUCCAGACUCCUACGGGAGGCAGCAGUAGGGAAUCUUCCGCAAUGGGCGAAAGCUUGACGGAGCAACGCCGCGUGAGUGAUGAAGGUCUUCGGAUCGUAAAACUCUGUUAUUAGGGAAGAACAAAUGUGUAAGUAACUAUGCACGUCUUGACGGUACCUAAUCAGAAAGCCACGGCUAACUACGUG